rnacentral:rRNA from 1 species
CAGUCGCCGCGGUAAAACGUAGGUGGCAAGCGUUGUCCGGAAUUAUUGGGCGUAAAGGGCUCGCAGGCGGUUUCUUAAGUCUGAUGUGAAAGCUCCCGGCUCAACCGGGGAGGGUCAUCGGAAACUGGGAAACUUGAGUGCAGAAGAGGAGAGUGGAAUUCCACGUGUAGCGGUGAAAUGCGUAGAGAUGUGGAGGAACACCAGUGGCGAAGGCGACUCUCUGGUCUGUAACUGACGCUGAGGAGCGAAAGCGUGGGGAGCGAACAGGAUUAGAUACCCGAGUAGUCCCUGUCUCUUAUAU